AAGUCGUAACAAGGUCUCCGUUGGUGAACCAGCGGAGGGAUCAUUACCGAGUUAUACAACUCCCAACCCGUGUGAACCGUACCAAUCGUUGCUUCGGCGGCCUCGCCCAGGGAGCCCCAGGGCGCCCCUGAGCACGGCGACCGCCGGAGGACCCAAACUCUGCCUUACAGUGUCUUCUGAGUGGAAUCAUACAAAUGAAUCAAAACUUUCAACAACGGAUCUCUUGGUUCUG
rnacentral:misc_RNA from 1 species